CCCAAGGGAAGCUCCGCCUACCUACCGGAAGUGGUACUGAUUGAACUUCCUGUGCUCGGCAACAUCUGUGAAAGUUAUCAACUUAAAGGGAAGCUCCGCCUACAUACCGGAAGUGGUACUGAUUGAACUUCCUGUGCUCGGCAACAUCUGUGAAAGUUAUCAACUUAAAGGGAAGCUCCGCCUACAUACCGGAAGUGGUACUGAUUGAACUUCCUGUGCUCGGCAACAUCUGUGAAAGUUAUCAACUUAAAGCAUUCCCUAACGUGUCUGCUCGUCGCCAUGGAAACGCUCCUGCAGGUCCAAGUCCCGCCUGCACACCUUUCUGCGUUGUCGGAGCGUGGCCUUUACAUGAAGGCAGACGCUCGGGGCUUUGAAUCUUUGGCCACCUAGUGAUUCCAUUCCCAUUCCUGGGGGCGAUGAUUCCAUUCAGAAUCGAUUCAACACGAUUCUUUUUUUGGCACAGUAAUUAUUAUGAGGCUUUUUCAAAACAGGUUACAGGUUACAACAUCUCCUCGUGGGUACAUGGAGAUGGCCUAAAAACCUGUUUUAGAAAAUGGAUUAUA